rnacentral:lncRNA from 10 species
CAGGGUCUUCCUGUCACCCAGGCUGAAGUACAGCAACAUGAUCAUAGCUCACUGCAGCCUUAAACUUCUGGGCUCAAGCGAUCCUACAAGUAGCUGGGACUACAGGUAUGCAUCACUGUGUUGUCUAAUUUUUUAUUUUUUAUUUUUAUUUUUGUAGAGAUAGGGUCUCACUAUGUUUCCCAGGCUCAAAGUAUAAACCUUUUAUGUAUAAUUCACUGAUGUCCUAGUGCUGGCCAGAGCUUAUGUUUAUAAACCAGUGAUCUUACAUUGUUGAAAUGUUAGUUCCUUCAAAAUCUUUUGACUCAGGGCUCUAGAAUCAUCCAACUGUUGAGGAGUGAUAUCUUCCCAGACCAGACUGCUGAUCAGUCACAAGGAAUUGUCCUUCCUCAUUCAUUUCUGAAAUAUUAUUUUGGCCAAGGUUCUGAUAACAUCACAUUUUCCAUUACAUUUUUCUUGAAAGGUUUUGAAGUAGUAUAAACUAUGCCCUCAUGGGCCAGUGUUGAGCUCCAUGAAGGAGUCUCAGCACUUCUGCAUACCCAACAAAUGAAUGGUACCUCCAGGAGAGGAGCUGGGCCACUCUAACUCACCCAAACAACUUCACUCCAGUUUCAACUUAUGAGCUUGAUGGAUUCUUGACCUUAAACAUGUUCAGAAAUCUAGCAGUCAUUUAACCAUGCUUCUCAGUGGUCACGUCUUGACAUGAUCACUCAUGAGGUCUAUGGCCAGUAAUUUGUUACUAAUUGUAUAUAAGUCACCACAGUCUGAAUGAUUUGCCUUCUUUAAAAAAAAAUAAAUAGGAGGCUGGGCGCAGUGGCU